CAGCAACGUCCACAGAGUGGGCAACCGCCCACGGAACUGGCUAAACUACAAAGCAUAGCAACGUCCACAGAGUGGGCAACCGCCCACGGAACUGGCUAAACUACAAAGCACAGCAACGUCCACAGAGUGGGCAACCGCCCACGGAACUGGCUAAACUACAAAGCAUAGCAACGUCCACAGAUGGGCAACCGCCCACGGAACUGGCUAAACUACAAAGCAUAGCAACGUCCACAGAGUGGGCACCGCCCACGGAACUGGCUAAACUACAAAGCAUAGCAACUUCCACAGAGUGAGCGUCGCCCACGGAACUGGCCAAUCAGAACGCUCACAGAAGUGGCGGUAAAACCAUCGCGAGACCAGACAACAGUUGCUAUGCUAGCUGUCUACACAAAAUCGCCUCACACUACGACUUUCGUAAUACAACAAUUAACCGCUACGUCGGUAAAAUACGAUAUAUAUAUAUAUAUAUAUAGAAUACGGUAUAUAUACGGUAUAUAUAUAUAUAUACCAGUGUUCAACUGGAAAGGCGAACUACACCAAAGAUAUCUCCC
rnacentral:lncRNA from 1 species